UUCCUAAUCCCCCUGCAUGUUUGAAUAGCUGGAUCUAACCAUGCCAGGGGCGCUGGGAGGU
rnacentral:pre_miRNA from 1 species